CAGUAUGUCAGACCUCUGCGCUUCCUUCCCUCGUAAGUCCGUAGACGUGACAGAAUGCCAGCGACCCCCCCAAAAGCGCAGAGGUGGAAAACUGAGGAGAAGAAACGCCGCGAAGGACGCAGCCCGGCGCGGCGAACGCGGACGGCAGGGGAGAGACGCGCCGCCCGUUCUGGUGGAACGUUUUCUCCCCGAGAAGCCGUGGUACGCGGCGCCGCGUGAUGACGUCACCCCCGGGAAACUCCGCGAAACCCGGAAGCGACAACGUCGGCGGGUGAGGAGGCGGAGCGAGGACGUUGGCGUCGGCAGCAGCGAGGAAGUGACGUGGGCAGCGAGCGCAGAAGAUGCGACCCCCACGAUCUUCGGCAUGUCGAGCCAAGAACUCUGCGCUCUGCUGGCAAGGCUCCCCGUGGACUGGGACGACACGGAUGACGACGAGAGCACGGGAGACGAGAGUUGGGCUCCGCCCAUCGCGCCAGUCUGCGAUCGUCGCAAGGUCCGUGGGGACCCACGUCACUUCCAGGGGGGUGAGAAGCGGCAACAACAACGACGGCGUUCCUCCAGCGAGGAGGUGGGCAGCCUCCAGCCCGAAUGGCCAGAGUACUGCCCAUGGGAGCUUAUCGCGCCAUGGGUCCAGGAUGUCCGCAGGGUGGACGACCCUCGGAGUCACCGGUGGGAGGACACGGAUGACGAAAGCGAUGAUGACGUGGAUUUUCGGUGGGCGGUCGGUGCCGGGAUGGCUCCGCCCAGCGUGCGCGUCCGAGAUCAUCGCGGCGUCCGUGAUGACCCAUGUGACUUCCGGGGGUACGAGGUUGACACGGACGACGACCAGGAUCGUCACGAGGUCCGUGGAGACCCACGUCCCUCCCAGCAGUGUGAGGAAAGCUGGUGGAAGAGGGCGACGGGAUGUCGCCAGCCAGCAACUGCGCUGCCGGGACUGCCUCGCAGGGAAUCCUCCAUUCCUGCUCCAGUCGCCGACCCGCCUUCCCUCUGCCCGGACGUUCCCCAGCGAAAAGGCAGCGCAGCACCAGCGUCCACACCUGCUGGAGAAGACGUCCACCCCCCUCCACACCACACACCUACCACCAUCUCCAGCAACGUGCCCAGCCCCAUGUGGGACAGCCCAAUUGUCCCGGGACCCUUCAGUGGGGCAGCAGACACUGAUAAGACCACCACCA
rnacentral:lncRNA from 1 species